rnacentral:snRNA from 1 species
AUGCUCACUUCGGCAGCACACAUACUAAAAUUGGAACGGCACANAGAAGAUUAGCAUGGCCCCUGCACAAGGAUGACACGCAAAUUCCUGAAGCGUUCCAUAAAAAA